rnacentral:rRNA from 1 species
UACGUAGGGGGCAAGCGUUGUCCGGAUUUAUUGGGCGUAAAGAGCGUGUAGGCGGCUAGGUAGGUCCGUUGUGAAAACUCGAGGCUCAACCUCGAGACGCCGAUGGAAACCAUCUGGCUAGAGUCCGGAAGAGGAGAGUGGAAUUCCUGGUGUAGCGGUGAAAUGCGCAGAUAUCAGGAAGAACACCCGUGGCGAAGGCGGCUCUCUGGUACGUGACUGACGCUGAGACGCGAAAGCGUGGGGAGCAAACAGG